rnacentral:tRNA from 1 species
GGUCCCGUAGUGUAGCGGUUAUCACGUCGCCCUGUCACGGCGAAGAUCGCGGGUUCGAUUCCCGUCGGGACC